rnacentral:rRNA from 1 species
GACGAACGCUGGCGGCGUGCCUAAUACAUGCAAGUCGAGCGCAGGAAACUGACGGAACUCUUCGGAGGGAAGGCAGUGGAAUGAGCGGCGGACGGGUGAGUAACACGUAAGGAACCUGCCUCAAGGAUUGGGAUAACUCCGAGAAAUCGGAGCUAAUACCGGAUAGUUCAUCGGACCGCAUGGUCCGUUGAUGAAAGGCGCUCCGGCGUCACCUUGAGAUGGCCUUGCGGUGCAUUAGCUAGUUGGUGGGGUAACGGCCCACCAAGGCGACGAGGCAUAGCCGACCGGGGAGGGUGAUCGGCCACACUGGGACUGAGACACGGCCCAGACUCCUACGGGAGGCAGCAGUAGGGAAUCUUCCACAAUGGACGAAAGUCUGAUGGAGCAACGCCGCGUGAGUGAUGAAGGUUUUCGGAUCGUAAAACUCUGUUGUAAGGGAAGAACACGUACGAGAGGGAAUGCUCGUACCUUGACGGUACCUUACGAGAAAGCCACGGCUAACUACGUGCCAGCCGCCGCAGUAAAAC